rnacentral:rRNA from 1 species
UACCUACGGGACGCAGCAGUGGGGAAUAUUGCACAAUGGGGGAAACCCUGAUGCAGCAACGCCGCGUGAGUGAAGAAGUAUUUCGGUAUGUAAAGCUCUAUCAGCAGGGAAGAAGAAAGACGGUACCUGACUAAGAAGCCCCGGCUAACUACGUGCCAGCAGCCGCGGUAAUACGUAGGGGGCAAGCGUUAUCCGGAUUUACUGGGUGUAAAGGGAGCGUAGACGGCUGUGCAAGUCUGAAGUGAAAGCCCGUGGCUCAACCGCGGAACUGCUUUGGAAACUGUAUAGCUUGAGUACUGGAGAGG